GUCCUUCUGCACAUCACAUGCAGGAUACAGGAACUGGGAGAGAGCUGAGUAAGCAUGAAAAGAUCACUUUUAAAGUCUCCAUUACCGCCUCUCCCUCCAGCCCCAAGCACUGUAGAAGCACAGACGAGAGAGGAGAGUUAUGGAUUGAGCGUAUGGCAAAGAUUCAAAGCCUAUAGUAGGAUGCAAUCCCACUGCCGGUGCUGCAAAUUGUUGGUGUCUUCCUCAAGCCAGUGCGUCAUGAUUAAACCAUAGAGAUUGUCUGCCUUGGUUUGAAUCACAACUCUGGCUCUCUGAUAUAGGAUCACUUAAUGGCCUUGUGAACCUAGAGAACAAGGAACAUGAGGCUACAUUGCUACAGGCAGCCAUCUUUGAGUUGAGAAGGAAGCCAGCCUUAAAGCUCAGCUGGCAGAAGAAGGAAAAGCAGCAGGAAUUACAGAAACGUGGAGUCAUGUCCUGAUCAUACUUGAAGCUCACUCCCCCGCUUUCUGCAUUUUCAACUGUGUGCUAUGAUAUAAUUUCCUUCCCUGAUGGUCCCAGUGCUGCCCCAUUCCUCACUUUAUGCCACUCAAUCAAGACUAUUCCUUAUGUGAAGAUCAAAUGGAUUUUCGUUUUUAAAGAAAAACCGUUCAGAUGGUUAAAACCAUGCUGAAUUUUAGCUUCAUAAUCAUCAGAUUCAUAGUUUACUUCUACAGAAUUUUCCUCCCCUGGAGUUUCUGAUUGCUUUGCCUUUCCACUCAUGAGAUAAAACAUAGACUUUUCCCAUCUUAUUCCUAAUAAUGCAAUUUCUGGUUUAUUUUGUAUUUUUGUAAAAUCCUUUUCUUCUUCCUGAAGAUAUUUUAGUUGCAGCCUACUGACUUACUGAUCUAAUGCCCUGGUCAACUUGCCAAAUAUUCAAAUUAUUGAAUAGCCAAUAUUCAGGGAAUUUUGUUCCUUUUCUGAAGGCUUAAUUGUCAGGCCUCUGAGCCCAGGCCAGGCCUUCGCAUCUCUGUGACUUGCAUGUAUACAUCCAGAUGGCCUAAAGUAACUGAAGAUCCACAAAAGAAGUAAAAACAGCCUUAACUGAUGACAUUCCACCAUUGUGAUU
rnacentral:lncRNA from 1 species